rnacentral:rRNA from 1 species
GACGAACGCUGGCGGCGUGCCUAAUACAUGCAAGUAGAACGCUGAAGGAGGAGCUUGCUCUUCUGGAUGAGUUGCGAACGGGUGAGUAACGCGUAGGUAACCUGCCUGGUAGCGGGGGAUAACUAUUGGAAACGAUAGCUAAUACCGCAUAAGAGUAGAUGUCGCAUGACAUUUGCUUAAAAGGUGCAAUUGCAUCACUACCAGAUGGACCUGCGUUGUAUUAGCUAGUUGGUGAGGUAACGGCUCACCAAGGCAACGAUACAUAGCCGACCUGAGAGGGUGAUCGGCCACACUGGGACUGAGACACGGCCCAGACUCCUACGGGAGGCAGCAGUAGGGAAUCUUCGGCAAUGGACGGAAGUCUGACCGAGCAACGCCGCGUGAGUGAAGAAGGUUUUCGGAUCGUAAAGCUCUGUUGUAAGAGAAGAACGAGUGUGAGAGUGGAAAGUUCACACUGUGACGGUGUCUUACCAGAAAGGGGACGGCUAACUACGUGCCAGCAGCCGCGGUAAUACGUAGGUCCCGAGCGUUGCCCGGAUUUAUUGGGCGUAAAGCGAGCGCAGGCGGUUAGAUAAUCUGAAGUGAAAGGCUGUGGCUUAACCAUAGUACGCUUUGGAAACUGUUUAACUUGAGUGCAUGAGGGGAGAGUGGAUUUGCAUGUGUAGCGGUGAAAUGCGUAGAAUAUGAAGGAACACCGGUGUGAAAUCGGCUCUUGGCUUUUUGUUGUGUGCUGAUGCUCGUGGGGGUGGGACAUGUGGUGUAUGACGCUGUUAUGCCAGUGGUGUGUCGCUUGGGUUUGGCUCUCGUUGUGUGUGCCGCGGAAAAAAAAAAAAAAAAAGGUUGGUGUAUUAAUGUGGUGUGUGUUGUUGUGUGUGCGUGUUGCUGUAUAUGUUGUGUUGUGGUUGCCUGAUUGUUGUUGUGCUGUGUGUGUGUUCUGUGUUUUUUGUGUGUGUCU